AGUGAACGCUGGCGGCGUGCUUAACACAUGCAAGUCGAACGAGAACGGGUUAUAGCUUGCUAUAAUUGUCAGCUAAGUGGCGCACGGGUGAGUAAUGUAUAGGUAAUAUGCCUCUUACUAAGGGAUAACAAUUGGAAACGAUUGCUAAUACCUUAUACUCCUUAUUAACCUAAGUUAAUAAGGGAAAGAUUUAUUGGUAAGAGAUUAGCCUGUAUUGUAUCAGUUAGUUGGUGGGGUAAUGGCCUACCAAGACUAUGACACAUAACUGGUUUGAGAGGAUGAUCAGUCACACUGGAACUGAGACACGGUCCAGACUCCUACGGGAGGCAGCAGUGGGGAAUAUUGCACAAUGGACGAAAGUCUGAUGCAGCAACGCCGCGUGGAGGAUGACACAUUUCGGUGCGUAAACUCCUUUUAUAUGAGAAGAUAAUGACGGUAUUAUAUGAAUAAGCACCGGCUAACUCCGUGCCAGCAGCCGCAGUAA
rnacentral:rRNA from 1 species